AAGGGGCGAGCCUGAUCCAGCCAUGCCGCGUGUGUGAAGAAGGUCUUCGGAUUGUAAAGCACUUUAAGUUGGGAGGAAGGGUUGUAGAUUAAUACUCUGCAAUUUUGACGUUACCGACAGAAUAAGCACCGGCUAACUCUGUGCCAGCAGCCGCGGUAAU
rnacentral:rRNA from 1 species